CCGUUUUGAUAUUUGCACUAC
rnacentral:siRNA from 1 species